UAGUUCGUAUACUCGUAUUCAACUUUUAUUUUGUUAAUCUGGAUCCCGAAAUGUUUCCUGAACUAAUAAUGCGUGACUGCCAGCUCUCAUCCUCGUUUGACUGGGGCUUACCUUCGACCUUCAGUAGCAGGUUUAAAUCAGCAGUGUUUCUGGGAACUGCCAGUACCAGACAUAGUAUACUACAGUGCCGUGCCCUGUAUUAAAGAUUAUUAAAAAAAGGUCACCAAGUGCAGAUUAUUAAAAAAAGAUCACCAAGUUUGGGUUAGAAUUAGGGUUAUUGUAAUUGAUCAUGUAAACCGAUUACAAUGCAAUAAGUUAUUGCAUACAAUAGGCAAUUCCAGCUUUUAGUUUAUGCGUGCAGGGGACGAUGGGAAGU